rnacentral:rRNA from 1 species
UACGUAGGGCGCAAGCGUUAUCCGGAAUUAUUGGGCGUAAAGAGCUCGUAGGCGGUUUGUCGCGUCUGCCGUGAAAAGUCCGGGGGCUCAACUCCGGAUCUGCGGUGGGUACGGGCAGACUAGAGUGAUGUAGGGGGAGACUGGAAUUCCUGGUGUAGCGGUGAAAUGCGCAGAUAUCAGGAGGAACACCAGUGGCGAAGGCGACACGCUGGGCCAUACCUGACGCUAAAGCGCGACAGCAUGGGGAGCAAACGGG